GCAGUAUUGCGCUUGCUACAGUAAGCCUCCCUGCGUGUGGUAAAAAUCAAUGUAUUACUUGCGUGUAUGUUCUGUACUGAAAUUGCGGGUGGUAGGUUGUGCGAGUUUGUGUUCUUCCUGACCGGCAUCUAAAAAUUCUUAUUUACUAUUGAGUUAGCUUAACUAAAGAUACAGUAACUCUAAGAGCCUCCCCAGCUAACAUUAAUAAUUCAGUAGGACUUUACUGUAUCAUACUAACGUCACUCCACGUUACCAGAAUCAAUGUCUGCUUUUCUUGUCAGCAGAUGAUGGUUCCAAGAACGUCUGCCAGCCAGGGCAAGUAGCUGUUUUAUAUGCUGCGAAGUGGUGGGAACAGCAGCAGCACUCAUGACUGCCCUCACCAGCACUAACAGAAUCAGCCAGAGGCUGGCUGAAAUUAUACACAUGUGGAGUGUUGAAACAAAGGAAAGGAAUGCUCUGUUAAGUGUGCUGUUCACAAAUUAAUGAGUUACAUGGAUGUCGGCCAAGCAAGUGCUACGUGUGCGGAGGAGCAGUUGGUGCAACAGGCUCACCCCUGAUGGCCUGUACUGGAACCACAAAAAUGCGACUAUAUCAGAGACUGGCAAAAAUAGACAUUCUGGACAUCGCCAUAGAGCAAGCCGGAAUGCUGUGCCUAGUGUGCUGAGCCAGUAUUAAUAAAAUGCAUGAGCACGAAACCCGGCUGAAGCAAAAAAAAAAAUAAAUAAAUAAAUAAAUAAAUAAAUAAAUAAAAAUAAAAAAAUAAAAAAAAUAUAUAAUCCUCCUCCUGUUUCCCUGGGACCCUGAUUAUGGAAAUCACUGCGAAAACUCCAAAAAUAAGUCACAUUAAAUGAUUAAACUUGCCACAGAAAGUUAAGCAUGUAACCGAAGGUAUGUCUAUUUCAUUAAACAACAGCUGUCCAACAUGUAUAUUAAUGUAAUGAACUGGCUCUGACUGCUUACCUAAACACAAUGGAAAAUUGUGUGUGGAAGUAGCACAAACAAUGUCAGAGAAAUGGCUAUGAAAAACCAUUUCUAGCUCAUGUUCUUUGGGACUGAUUUUUUGACUCCUCUGAGGAAGUUGCCUCUUCAGGCAGACGGGUCCAAUGCCUCUCAGAUUUGGUGCCAGGGUGCAUGACUGAAGUUAGAAAUAAUGGGGCAUUCUGGAUAAAAAUUAAGGCACUGAAAAUAUUUUACUUUCUUUCUUUGGUCUGCUGCACAGUGUUGUGUCAGUGACAGCCAGCACACAAUAUCAAAGAUGAGAAGAAAAUUUGAGCUAGUUCUAAUUGACAUUACCCUUGUAACUGAAAUUUAUUUUUAUUUAAUAUUCUGAGUAUUAGGUUGUCUUUACUUGCUCUGUCU